AUUGAACGCCGGCGGCAGGCCUAACACAUGCAAGUCGAACGGUAACAGGAAGCAGCUUGCUGCUUCGCUGACGAGUGGCGGACGGGUGAGUAAUGUCUGGGAAACUGCCUGAUGGAGGGGGAUAACUACUGGAAACGGUAGCUAAUACCGCCUAACGUCGCAAGACCAAAGAGGGGGACCUUAGGGCCUCUUGCCAUCGGAUGUGCCCAGAUGGGAUUAGCUAGUAGGUGGGGUACCGGCUCACCUAGGCGACGAUCCCUAGCUGGUCUGAGAGGAUGACCAGCCACACUGGAACUGAGACACGGUCCAGACUCCUACGGGAGGCAGCAGUGGGGAAUAUUGCACAAUGGGCGCAAGCCUGAUGCAGCCAUGCCGCGUGUAUGAAGAAGGCCUUCGGGUUGUAAAGUACUUUCAGCGGGGAGGAAGGGAGUAAAGUUAAUACCUUUGCUCAUUGACGUUACCCGCAGAAGAAGCGCCGGCUAACUCCGUG
rnacentral:rRNA from 1 species